CGCGUAGGUGGUAGUGUAAGUCUGGGGUGGAAUCCCAGGGCUUAACCCUGGAACUGCCUUGGAAACUGUAUUACUUGAGUCAGUGAGGGGAGGGUAGAAUUCCUGGUGUAGCGGUGAAAUGCGUAGAUAUCAGGAGGAAGGCCCGUGGCGAAGGCGGCCCUCUGGCGCUGGACUGACACUGAGGCGCGAAAGCGUGGGGAGCAAACAGGAUUAGAUACCCUGGUAGUCCACGCCCUAAACGGUGGGCACUAGGUGUAGGGCUCGUAAGGGUUCUGUGCCGAAGGGAAACCAUUAAGUGCCCCGCCGUGGGGAGUACGGCCGCAAGGUUGAA
rnacentral:rRNA from 1 species